rnacentral:rRNA from 1 species
UGGGGAAUAUUGCACAAUGGGCGCAAGCCUGAUGCAGCCAUGCCGCGUGUAUGAAGAAGGCCUUCGGGUUGUAAAGUACUUUCAGUCGGGAGGAAGGUGUCAAGGUUAAUAACCUUGGCAAUUGACGUUGCCGACAGAAGAAGCACCGGCUAACUCCGUGCCAGCAGCCGCGGUAAUACGGAGGGUGCAAGCGUUAAUCGGAAUUACUGGGCGUAAAGCGCACGCAGGCGGUUGAUUGAGUCAGAUGUGAAAUCCCCGGGCUUAACCCGGGAAUUGCAUCUGAUACUGGUCAGCUAGAGUCUUGUAGAGGGGGGUAGAAUUCCAUGUGUAGCGGUGAAAUGCGUAGAGAUGUGGAGGAAUACCGGUGGCGAAGGCGGCCCCCUGGACAAAGACUGACGCUCAGGUGCGAAAGCGUGGGGAGCAAACAGG